GAAAUAUUCCAUUACAUAGACCUACUGUGCUUUGCUUUCCAUUCACUAUUGAAGGAUAUGUGGGUUCUUUGUAGGUGUUGUGGAUUGUGAAUAGAGCUGCUAGAAAAUAUUUGCAUACUUUUUUUGUGUACUUAAGUUUUCCUUUCUCCAGGACAGUUUUUUUUUGUUUUGUUUUAACUUCAAUAUUAUUAACACUUUGGGGUGGAGAAUUCUUUUGUUUUGGGGGACUCUCCUGUGCAUUAUAGGGUGUUUAGUAGCAUCCCCGGUCUCACCUCCCCAGAUAUCAUUCUUUCCCUCCAAGUGUGACAACAAAAAAUGUUUCUGGGUAUUGUCAAAUUUCCCCUGGGGUGUGGAAGGGGGAAAAUUUCCCUGGCUGAUACUACUUUAGUGUGAACCUGCUAGUGACAAAUGCCAUCUAUUAUCUUAAAAAAACUUAGAUCUAACAUUUCUGAAAUUAUGUUUCUCUGGAUAUAGAAUUCUAAUUUGGAAAUCGGGUAUGGUGGUACACCUCUGUAAUUCCAGCUACUCAGGAAGUGGAGGCAGGAGGAUUGCAAGUUUGAGCCCAGCCUGGAAAAUUUAACAAGACCUCAUCUCAAAAUUUUAAAAAAGGGGCUGGGGAUGUAGGUCAGUGGUAAAAUGGCUUGUGUUCAAUAUCCAGUACCUGUCCCUCCCCCAAUCUUAUUUUGGUUUAUGGUUCUGGAGACUGGAAAGUUCAUGAUCAGGUGACCACUCUGGUGAGGGCUUUGUUUAUCUCUCUAUUCAUUCUUUCUAUGAAUCUAUUACUAAAUCCAUACAUGGAUGUCUUAAUUUCAUUGCUUAUAAUUAGUUAUAGAAAGUUUUAUAGCUUCAAUAUUUUACUAAAAUCCACUUUCUUAUAUUCAUUCUUUAAAAAUAUUAAACCUCAGAAGCAAUUAACAGUUCUUGUUGGACAGUAGCCCCAGGUACCAGGCACAUCCAUUUGUGCUUCCUUCCUCUCCCAAAUGGUAGUCCCACAAUUCUUCACUGUCUUGGUAGCACUCUGAUACUUCAAAUGCUUUUUAAAUCUAUAUACUUUUGUCCAGCUUUUCUGUUCCCAGUGGUAAGGUGGUCUCAGCAACUUAUUAGGAAUUACCGGAAGACUAGAGACUUGCUUUUUAAAUGCAUACAAUAUAAGACAACUGUUCCUGUUUGUAAAAAGUCAUUGCCAUGGACAAAAUAUGGGGAGGAAACUCUUCUAUAUUAAAAGAGGCUUAAAAGUCAUAACAAC
rnacentral:lncRNA from 1 species